UACGAAGGGUGCAAGCGUUACUCGGAAUUACUGGGCGUAAAGGGUGCGUAGGUGGUCGUUUUAAGUCCGUUGUGAAAUCCCUGGGCUCAACCUGGGAAUGGCAGUGGAUACUGGACGGCUAGAAUGCGGUAGAGGGUAGGUGGAAUUUCCGGUGGAGCGGUGAAAUGCGUAGAGGUCGGAAAGAACACCAACGGCGAAGACACUCUGCUGGGCCGACACUGACACUGAUAGACGAAAGCUAGGGGGAGCAAAUGGG
rnacentral:rRNA from 1 species